GUUGGUGCGCGGGAUAGCCCGUCCCCUUCCCCUUUCCCGCUCCCCCUCCCCCGCCCUGGCCCCGCUUCCCGCGCAGGUUGCCGGGCCGGGCCGGGCGGGGGCCCGAGCAGCACAGACAGACAGGCAGAGGGAGGGAGGCGGGGAGGGACAGGCUCAGCCCGAUCUUCAUGCCCCAGCAGGCAGCGGCAGCGGCAGCAGCAAAACUUCUGAAGGUUUGCAGAAGAUACAGAGAGAUAGUGAGAGAACCACCAAGAAGGCUAUAGCAAUAUUAGUAGUUGUAAGUAUCUGCUUUGAGGGAGGACUCCAGACCGUGGAUGCAAAGCUACCUCCUGUGAAGACUACAUAAAGGAAGCCAAGAGACAGCUCUCUGACACCACCUACUACAAAGAACUACAAGAAGAUCCUACUCCCCUUUUCACCAAAAAACUCAACAAUACCAUCAAAUCAUUUCCAUCAAGACUACAAGAAAAACUACAGACCUUGAUCCCCCCACUACCUAACCCGGGGACUUUUUACAUGCUCCCUAAAAUCCACAAACAAGGGAACCCUGGCAGACCUAUCAUAUCCAACCAUGGGACCCUGACUGAGGAAAUAUCGGGUUUCAUUGAAUCAAUUGUAAAACCGCUCGUCACCCACAGAGCAAAUUUUGUCCAAGACACUACAGACUUUCUAUGGAAACUUAAAAACACAGACCACCUUCCCAGCAACACGCUCCUAGCCACCAUGGAUGUUACCACCCUAUAUACCAACAUCCCACACCAGGAUGGCAUCCAAGCCUGCCUUACAUAUCUACAGGAACAAGAUUACAACCAAAGAUAUUACCGACCUUAUACACUUCAUCCUCAAACACAGCAAUUUCACUUUUAAUAAUCAACACUUCCUCCAGAUGAUGGGAACAGCUAUGGGCACUAAAAUGGCCCCACAGUAUGCCAACCUUUUUAUGAGCCACGUGGAAGAAGACUUCCUCAAGAACUGCACCACCAAACCCUAAACUAUACUUAAGAUAUAUCGAUGACAUCUUCAUCAUUUGGACUGAAAACCUACAAUCUCUGAUUGAGUUCCAUCAGAAAUGCAACAAUCACCAUCCCUCCAUCCAACUUUCUCUAGAAUACUCCAGCACCAGCAUCUCCUUUUUAGACACAAUGAUCAGUAUCCAGAAUGAUAAAAAUACAGACCACGUUAUACAAGAAACACACAGACCAACAUGCAUAUCUGCACAGAACCAGCAAUCACCCUAAAUACACCAAAAAAACUAUGAUAUACAGCCAAGCCCUCAGAUACCACUGCAUUUGCACUGAAGAGAACACCCGGGAUUGCCACCUCACCAAUCUUAAAAAGGCUUUCACCCAACAAGGACACUCCUCCAGAGAGAGAGAUCGCACGUUUGAAAGAGCCAUCCAGAUACCACGUGAAGAACUGCUGCAGUACAGAAGAAAACCCCCCACAAAUCGCACACCGCUGGUUAUGACAUAUCACCCCUCCCUUGAACCUGUACGGAAAAUCCUCAAACAAUUGCAACCCAUACUAGAAAGAGACCCUAUUCUUAAAAAUCUUCCCAGAGCCACCCAUCCUAGCCUUUAAACAAGCACCGAACCUCGCUAACCUCAUCACCAGAAGCAAAAUUCCUCAAGCCCAGAACACACCAAAAGGAUCCAGACCAUGCCAUGACAAGAAAUACAAAACCUGCCAACACAUUUCCACCACCCCCACUAUUACUACACCCCACAACAGAGCCAUCAGCAUCCCUGGAUCUUACAGCUGCACCUCCAGAAAGGUAAUAUAUCUCAUCCAAUGCACCAAAUGCCCUGAUGGAAAAUACUUAGAAGAGACCAAACAACAACUGCGCACCAGAAUGAACUCACGCCGGAAAUCUAUCAAAGACAGAAAUACCCAAUUACCUGUGGGGGUGCAUUUCUCACAAGAAAACCACUCUCUCUCCAAUCUCUUAGUCCUGAUCCUCAAAGGAAACUUACAAAACAUUUCCCAGAGAUGAGCCUAUGAACUCCACUUCAUCAACCUCCUGGAUACUAAAAAUCAUGGACUAAAUAUAGACAUUGGAUUUAUGACACAUUACAAUAUGCCUGACAUCUGACUCCCCAGGUAGCUCUCCAGUUUCAUCCCCCUUCUUUCUUUCCCCUCCCCUCCCCUCCCCCCCAGCCUGUGUCUCACCCAUUGACUCCUCAAUCUACAUUUUUGACUGGCUACCUGUCUUGUAUGCAUACCAGUCCAGCUGCUGGCUUCUUUACUUUUCAUUCCAUCCAGGAAGAGCACACACCAACUGCUGAAACUUUCUUAGCCUGAUAAAGGGUUUUUGAACCCGAAACCUUGCUUAAUAACUAUUCUCCAACCAUUUGGGUUGCUCUAAUAAAAGAUAUCAGAUUCACCCAAGGAACCUUGUCUGCCUAUGUCCUUAGACCAACACGGCUACAACCUACACCCCUGCAAGCUACCUCCUUGCACUUCUGCUCUACCAAAGAGAAGUGGGAAUCCAGACACCACUGUGCUUGGCAUGGUUUUUGUUGUUGUUGUUGUUAUUUUUGGGUUUUUUGGUUCUAAGUGCCAGACUCCGGGCUUUGCAUUCAACUCUGGGGCCUGGCACCUAAAAGUUAGGCAUUGCAGUGUUGAACUUGUAGGUAUUUUAAGCCUUAUUAGAGAGAGCUUGUAAUCUUUACUUAAAGAAACUAUUCCUAGUGACAGCAGUUUUCUUCAUGCUUGCUUGUUCCUUGGCAUUUUCUGAAAAAGCACAAGGAUGAAAAAUCACAUAAACAGUAACUGGAUGUUGAAACAGACAGAAAUAUGAGACCACAGCCAUAGGAAAUAGACUAUGAUAUCUUACCCUGCACUUCUAACUAAAAUGCAGCUUCUAGCUCCUGUCUAGAGAUUUGUCUGAAGCAUGCUGCUUCUGCUAGAGAAUUUCUGCAAGUAGCUUCUCACCUUGCACUACCUAUCUUCUGUCAGCUGGGUGACUUAGCCACCUAAAGCCUUAAAGACUUGUCUCACGCAGCUUGUGAAGUACUUAACCUUAUCCAGUGUUAUUGAUGUUGUAGCCAUGAUGGUCCAGGAAUUAUGUGAGAAGCAAGGAUUUCUUAAGUUGAUAUCUUUUUAUUGGACCAACUGCAUAGCUGGACCAACUGCAUAGCUUGGAUAGUUAGACAAGUUUUCAAAUGCAAGACAUUCUUCAUCAGGUCUUAAUCCAAAAAAAGAUAACACUUUAUGAAAUCCAUGUCUCUAACCUUGUCUACUUAUCUGUAUUCUUCUAUUUGGUUCUUGGGGAGCAUGAAUUAUAUUAUGCAGAUAACUUCCUUCCCACCAAUAUUAAUCUUUCUGUCAGGCCACCUGUUUGUAAUUUACAACUAGAUUUAAGAAAUAUUUACAUCUUUCAGACCUGUAGACUGCUGAUCCAAUUUUUUUCUCUAACAAUUAUUGAAGGAAGAUACAGUCUCAGUGUUUUUUCUUCAAGGGUUGCAAAUAUGUAUGGUGGGGGUGGGCAAAAUAUGGCCUGCAGGCCAGAUUUGGCCCACCAGGCACCAAGGUUCCCUCUAAGCCACUCACGUGCACGACUGAGCACAACUAAAAGUCUGGCCAUGCACAGCCUUUUCAAGGCCGCGAACCCAGAAGAAGAGCUGAAGGUAAGCUUCUAGGUGAGGUGGGGGUAGGAACCUGGCACGGGCUCUGCCAGUUCUGGGGAAGUGCUCCGCUCACCCGCUUCACCUUGGGGAGUGAGGAGGCACGUGGCAUCAGGACCGGAGAGUGGAGCACUUCCCUGGAGCUGGAGACUAAUCCAGUCUCUUUUUAUGACCAGGUUACAAAACCCCUGGACACAGGAGUAGGGGUGGAUGUCAUAUACUUAGACUUCAGGAAGGCCUUCGAUAUGGUAUCCCACCCCAUACUUGUGAACAAGUUAAGAGACUGUGACUUGGAUGACUACACAGUCCGGUGGGUGACGAAUUGGCUGGAGGGUCGCACCCAGAGAGUCGUGGUGGAUGGGUCGGUUUCGACCUGGAAGGGUGUGGGCAGUGGGGUCCCGCAGGGCUCGGUCCUUGGACCGAUACUCUUUAAUGUCUUCAUCAGCGACUUGGACGAGGGAGUGAAAUGUACUCUGUCCAAGUUUGCGGGUGACACAAAGCUAUGGGGAGAAGUGGACACGCCGGAGGGCAGGGAACAGCUGCAGGCAGAC